UACGUAGGGACCAAGCGUUGUUCGGAUUUACUGGGCGUAAAGGGCGCGUAGGCGGCGCGGUAAGUCACUUGUGAAAUCUCUGAGCUUAACUCAGAACGGCCAAGUGAUACUGCAGUGCUAGAGUGUGGAAGGGGCAAUCGGAAUUCUUGGUGUAGCGGUGAAAUGCAUAGAUAUCAAGAGGAACACCUGAGGUGAAGACGGGUUGCUGGGCCAACACUGACGCUGAUGCGCGAAAGCCAGGGGAGCAAACGGG
rnacentral:rRNA from 1 species